rnacentral:rRNA from 1 species
GCGAAGCGAGCCCUGAGAUGAGUCUUCCCUGAUACUUUAAGUAUCCUAAAGGGUUGUUCGAGACUAGAACGUUGAUAGGCAGGGUGUGUAAGCGUUGUGAGGCGUUGAGCUAACCUGUACUAAUUGCCCGUGAGGCUUAACCAUACAACACCCAAGGGGUUUUGUA